rnacentral:tRNA from 1 species
GUCGAGGUGGCCCAGCCUGGUACGGCGGUGGCCUGCUAAGCCACUGGAGAGAUCUCCACCCGGGUUCGAAUCCCGGCCUCGGCGC